rnacentral:rRNA from 1 species
UACAGAGGUCUCAAGCGUUGUUCGGAUUCAUUGGGCGUAAAGGGUGCGUAGGCGGCGCGGUAAGUCGGGUGUGAAAUCUCGGGGCUUAACUCCGAAACUGCAUUCGAUACUGCCGUGCUUGAGGACUGGAGAGGAGACUGGAAUUUACGGUGUAGCGGUGAAAUGCGUAGAUAUCGUAAGGAAGACCAGUGGCGAAGGCGGGUCUCUGGACAAGUUCCGUGACGGCUGAGGCACGAAGGCCAGGGGAGCGAAACAGG